rnacentral:rRNA from 1 species
GACGAACGCUGGCGGCGUGCCUAAUACAUGCAAGUAGAACGCACAGUUUAUACCGUAGCUUGCUACACCAUAGACUGUGAGUUGCGAACGGGUGAGUAACGCGUAGGUAACCUGCCUGGUAGCGGGGGAUAACUAUUGGAAACGAUAGCUAAUACCGCAUAAUAUUAAUUAUUGCAUGAUAAUUAAUUGAAAGGUGCAAUUGCACCACUACCAGAUGGACCUGCGUUGUAUUAGCUAGUAGGUGAGGUAACGGCUCACCUAGGCGACGAUACAUAGCCGACCUGAGAGGGUGAUCGGCCACACUGGGACUGAGACACGGACCAGACGGCUACGGGAGGCAGCAGUAGGGAAUCUUCGGCAAUGGACGAAAGUCUGACCGAGCAACGCCGCGUGAGUGAAGAAGGUUUUCGGAUCGUAAAGCUCUGUUGUAAGGGAAGAACGGGUGUGAGAGUGGAAAGUUCAGACUGUGACGGUAUCUUACCAGAAAGGGACGGCUAACUACGU